CCCAGAAGGACACUGACAGCUAGGGUGCUGUGACAGCCAAGCUCGGGCCCCAUGGGGGGCUCGUUUCCUGCCAGUGCCUGUUUUCCCUGAGGAAGAAAGGUCUUCCAUGGUGUCUGAGGGCUUCAGAAAGGCCUGGGCUACUGGGGUCUCUCUAGAAGAUUGGUUAAGUGUUUCUGUUAGAGUCGUCAGAGAGGCAAGAGAUCAUUGUCAUCUGAGACAAGGGAAAAACCAGGAUGAGAGACAAAGAGGCAGAGACAGAGAGACACGCAAAGAGAACAAGAGCCACAUUAGAUCUGGAAAACUCGAUAGAAGCAAGGCUCAUCCCACUUCUCGGCACUAUAGUGUGAAGCCCCUAUAGUUAAUGAGUGGGGAAUAGCUAUGACAAUAAAUCUUAAGUACCACCCUAA